UGAGGAAUCUGUCCAUCGGCGGGGGAUAGCCGGCCCAACGGCCGGGUAAUACCGCGUACGUCGGNGGGAGCGCAUGCUCC
rnacentral:rRNA from 1 species